rnacentral:tRNA from 1 species
AGAAGAUAAGGUAUAAACCCUUUGAUUUGAAACCAAAGCCAAGAUGUUCGACUCAUCUAUCUUCUU